AUGGCGCAUACCCCUCCUUCCCAAACUACUUUUGUGGAAAUUGAGCCUCCACCAGACAUCUCAACUCCAGUAUGGCCGCCUGCACUGCGACCAGGGAUGCCUCUGGAACAACCUCCAUAUGCUCCGGUGUUCUACCAUACCCCCACUCCACUCAGUUCUGUUCAUCCUGGAACCCGUGUGCACAUGUCCUCUCCUGCUCUGGCUGGGAGCACUCCAGUACAAACUCUCACCUGGGCAACACAAGUAGAUAACAUGCAACUUUGCACCUCUUCUGAAGGUGGAACUCCUUCGUCAGUGGCACAACAUGACCUGCCCAACAUUCUACCAACUCCUGGAAGGGAAAUACAAGCAGUCACUGCCCGGGUACAAGGGAACUGGGAUACCUUGUUUGACUUAAUGGCAAGACAAGAAAGAAGAGUGAAUGAACUUACCCAGGAAGUGAAAGAUACCUCUUCUCAGCACCAGAGCCAGAUUGCUGAUCUUGCUGCAAAAGUGGAGGAUAACAAAAAUCAAGUUUUAACCCUGUUUACUACCCCUAAGCAACAUGAGGAAACUGAAGCAGAUAACCUGACUAAAGCGAUGAAGGUAAUGAUCACGGAAGAACUCCAGAAGGUGGAAUCUACCUUGGUGUCCGAACUACGAUUCAUGGUUGAUCAACUCCAAGCAGAGGUUCAGCAGGACAUCAAAGCUGUUCAAAAUACUUUCCAAACAAGCCAUAAUAAGAUAACUUCACAACUCCAACAAUGUGUUACUCAAACUGAUCAAUGUCUCACCGGUUUCAAAGAGUUGAAAAGUGAAGUGGAGAAAGGAUUUCAAAGUGUUAAAAAAAGUGCAGAUCAACAAAAAUUAAGUGUACUGACAGCACCAGGUCCCAGCACUACCAGUAUUUCAUCCCAGCCAUCUCCUUCUGCUCCAGUGACUCUUUCAACUUCUUCAACCCCUCUGUUAACAUCUGUGGUUAAAAGUGACCAUAUUAAAUUAACCUUCCCCACAUUUGGAAGGCCUUCAGACGAUGCAGACCCCCUAUUGUACCUAACUAAAUGUCAGGAUUUUUUGGCUGUACAUCCCCUGACAGAUGCAGACAUCCUGGCUACCUUCCGUACUGUCUUGUACGGAACAGCACGAGACUGGUGGGAAGUCAGACGGUCCAGCAUAACCACUUGGAUUGAGUUUGAGACUGCAUUCAUAUCUGCUUUCCUUUCUGAGGAUUAUGAGGACGAACUGGCUGAACGUGUCCGUACUAGGAUUCAAAGAGACACAGAAUCCAUUAGAGACUUCGCGUUUUCUUACAGAGCUCUCUGUAAAAGAUGGAAGGCGGAUUUUACAGAGGGUGAGAUUGUGAAGAUGAUACUUAAGAAUAUCAAGCCGUACCUUGCCAGCCAAUUGCGUAGCCGAGUAAAUACUGUGGAAGAGCUGGUAAAAUUAGGACAUCAACUGGAAAGAGAUUAUGAGCAACAGCUUCGUUAUGAUUGUGGUCGAAUGGGCCCUAAGCAUCAAGCCCCAUCACAAAGACCCUACUCAAACCACCCUACUGAGAAAAUCCCAGUUCAGUGCUGGAGAUGUAGAGGACAGCAUCCACCAGGAAAAUGUCCACACUAUACCUCUCCCCAGUCACCUCAGACGUCUGGUCCACAGUAUUCCACCAGCAGCAAACAACCUUCUCACCCCAAGUCAGGUGGUCAUCCGUCCAACAACUCUGUUGCUGCAACAAAAAGUCAUAAGUCACAAUCAGCAACCAAGAAAACCUCCUCCUCAUGUACAAGCUCUAAUGAACGUGUAGCUGUGCCUCAACAACUAGUUGUUCCCCUUUGUAUCGAUGCCUGGUCAGGUAAAGCCAUUGUGGACACUGGUGCAAGCUACACACUCAUCCAUGAGAAUCUCAUGAGGCAGCUAACAUCCCCCGACCAGCUGCAACCGUGGUGCCGUGGUCCUCUUUAUCUGGCGAAUGGAAAGGCAGAGAUUCCGUUAGGAUGGCUGAAUACCACCAUUAAUUUACAUGACCAAGCAUUUACCUUACCUACUGCUGUACUUUCAUCCCAAGCUCUAGCUUAUGCUGUAGUCUUGGGGUUGGACUUUAUUUUUCUUCAGUGGGCUGCAACUCAAUGUCAUUGA
ensembl:lncRNA